AUUGAACGCUGGCGGCAUGCUUUACACAUGCAAGUCGAACGGUAACAGGUUAAGCUGACGAGUGGCGAACGGGUGAGUAAUGCAUCGGAACGUGCCCGAUCGUGGGGAUAACGCAGCGAAAGCUGCGCUAAUACCGCAUACGAUCUGAGGAUGAAAGCGGGGGACCGUAAGGCCUCGCGCGAUCGGAGCGGCCGAGGGAAGAUUAGGUAGUUGGUGGGGUAAAGGCACACCAAGCCAACGAUCUGUAGCUGGUCUGAGAGGACGACCAGCCACACGGGGACGGAGACACGGCCCAGACUCCUACGGGAGGCAGCGGUGGGGAAUUUUGGACAAGGGGCGAAAGCCUGAUCCAGGAAUGCCGCGUGCAGGAAGAAGGCCUUCGGGUUGUAAACUGCUUUUGUACGGAGCGAAAAGGCUCUCUCUAAUACAGGGGGCUCAUGACGGUACCGUAAGAAUAAGCACCGGCUAACUACGUGCCAGCAGCCGCCGUAA
rnacentral:rRNA from 1 species